rnacentral:rRNA from 1 species
AUUGAACGCUGGCGGCAUGCCUUACACAUGCAAGUCGAACGGCAGCACGGGUGCUUGCACCUGGUGGCGAGUGGCGAACGGGUGAGUAAUACAUCGGAACAUGUCCUGUAGUGGGGGAUAGCCCGGCGAAAGCCGGAUUAAUACCGCAUACGAUCCACGGAUGAAAGCGGGGGACCUUCGGGCCUCGCGCUAUAGGGUUGGCCGAUGGCUGAUUAGCUAGUUGGUGGGGUAAAGGCCUACCAAGGCGACGAUCAGUAGCUGGUCUGAGAGGACGACCAGCCACACUGGGACUGAGACACGACCCAGACUCCUACGGGAGGCAGCAGUGUGGAAUUUUGGACAAUGGGCGAAAGCCUGAUCCAGCAAUGCCGCGUGUGUGAAGAAGGCCUUCGGGUUGUAAAGCACUUUUGUCCGGAAAGAAAUCCUUGACUCUAAUACAGUCGGGGGAUGACGGUACCGGAAGAAUAAGCACCGGCUAACUACGUG